AAGUCGUAACAAGGUUUCCGUAGGUGAACCUGCGGAAGGAUCAUUACCGAGUUAGGGUCUUCUGGCCCAACCUCCAACCCUGUGCGAAUGACGCAUGUUGCUUCGGUGGGCCUUUGUGCCUGCCGGAGACCUGUAAAAAUCAUUUCAGUUUGUGUCUGAGCAAAUAAUAAAAUUGUUAAAACUUUCAACAACGGAUCUCUUGGUUCCC
rnacentral:misc_RNA from 1 species